rfam:Populus trichocarpa scaffold_17_contig_366, whole genome shotgun sequence.
UCUAGAACUCGAGAUAUGGGCUAAACACUAAAUAGUGUAUGGGCUGCAGGACAGAUUCUGACUUCUUUGUUGUUGCUACAAUUUGAAUUUGAAAAUGGUCUUUUUGAAUCUUGAACUUUACAUGAAAGUAUUAGGCUUAUGUUUUAGCUUUCUAUC